GACGAACGCUGGCGGCGUGCUUAACACAUGCAAGUCGAACGGUGAAGCGCCUUCCUUUUUGGUGGGUGUGGAUGAGUGGCGAACGGGUGAGUAACACGUGAGUAACCUGCCCCCUUCUUCUGGAUAACCGCAUGAAAGUGUGGCUAAUACGGGAUAUUCUGGGUCUGUCGCAUGAUGGGUCUGGGAAAGAUAUUGUUUCGGUGGGGAUGGGCUCGCGGCCUAUCAGCUUGUUGGUGGGGUGAUGGCCUACCAAGGCGGUGACGGGUAGCCGGCCUGAGAGGGUGGACGGUCACACUGGGACUGAGACACGGCCCAGACUCCUACGGGAGGCAGCAGUGGGGAAUAUUGCACAAUGGGCGCAAGCCUGAUGCAGCGACGCCGCGUGAGGGAUGGAGGCCUGCGGGUUGUGAACCUCUUUCGCCAGUGAAGCAGGCCUGCCUCGUUUGUGGGUGGGUUGACGGUAGCUGGAGAAGAAGCGCCGGCUAACUACGUG
rnacentral:rRNA from 1 species